CAGGGAGACAACAAAAUGUUUAAUAUUAUUAUUUUGUCACCUUAGGUCGAUCGGUAUCUCACGUUCUUAAUUUGUUAAGAAUUUCAUUUCCUAAGUUUUUCUAGGUCACACCCAUUAUUUUUCCUGGGCCAUUAGCUCAGGUGGUUAGAGCGCACCCCUGAUAAGGGUGAGGUCCCUGGUUCAAGUCCAGGAUGGCCCAUAUCUCUAUGUUGGGGGUAUAGCUCAGUUGGUAGAGCGCCUGCUUUGCAAGCAGGAUGUCAGCGGUUCGAGUCCGCUUACCUCCACUGAUUACCACCUCUUACAUAACUGGUAAAAAGGAAAUGUUUUGAGUUGUGAGCAUUAUUCUGAACGAAUCUAGCUUCCUAAUGAAAUCAUUAAGAUGCUGGACUCAUUGAAUUAAUUUCAUUGUUUUCAGAGAACCUUGACAACUGCAUAGAUUAUUUUUAAAGACAAUAAGCAUCUUUAAUGAUGCAGAUUUAUUAUUUGUGCGAAUGCAUUAAUAACAAUUCUAUUAAGCUGAUGCUUCAAUUUUUUGAAGUUAUU
rnacentral:tRNA from 1 species